AGAACGAACGCUGGCGGCGUGCUUAACACAUGCAAGUCGAACGCGAAAGGGACUUCGGUCCUGAGUAAAGUGGCGCACGGGUGAGUAACGCGUAGAUAACCUGUCUUCAUGUCUGGAAUAAUACGCCGAAAGGGGUACUAAUACCGGAUAUUCUUGCUUUUCAUAAGUUAUGCAAGCAAAGGUGGCCUCUGCAUAUGCUACUGCAUGAAGAGGGGUCUGCGUACCAUUAGCUAGUAGGUGGGGUAAUGGCCUACCUAGGCGACGAUGGUUAGCGGGUCUGAGAGGAUGAUCCGCCACACUGGCACUGGAACACGGGCCAGACUCCUACGGGAGGCAGCAGUGAGGAAUAUUGCGCAAUGGGGGAAACCCUGACGCAGCGACGCCGCGUGAGUGAGGAAGGCCUUCGGGUCGUAAAGCUCCGUCAAGAGGAAAGAAGUGUACAAUGGCUAAUACCUGUUGUAUUUGACGGUACCUCUAAAGGAAGCACCGGCUAACUCCGUGCCAGCAGCCGC
rnacentral:rRNA from 1 species